CCUGUCUAAGGCCCCACCCCCACAGACUUAAGUGAAGACCCGCAUUCCUACUUUCUAUCCCAAAUGUUGCGUUUUCUAAGACCACUCUGGCCCGCCAUACCUCCAUCCUGGGCCUAUAAAAAUCCGAGACCCUAGCAAGACAGAAACGGAAGCUGCUGGACGACGAGAUGAAAAUAUCGGCCAAAGAAGACAAGCCACCGGACAUUGAGAGGACAUCGAGGGGAGCCCCCGCUUGUCGCACGCCCUGCCACAGGGAUGAGGGAACCUCUCCAGUUUCAAUAUAUGGAGUUUUGCUCUUGUUGCAUAGACUGGAGUGCAAUGGCGUGAUCUCGGCUUACCCCAACCUCCACCUCCUGGGUUCAAG
rnacentral:lncRNA from 10 species